GAUGAACGCUAGCGAUAGGCUUAACACAUGCAAGUCGAGGGGCAGCAUGGUCUUAGCUUUCUAAGACUGAUGGCGACCGGCGCACGGGUGCGUAACGCGUAUGCAACUUGCCUCACAGAGGGGGCUAACCCGUCGAAAGACGGAUUAAUACCGCGUUCAUUUGGCAUAGGGCAUCCUGACCCAAGGAAAUGAAAUUCGCUGUGAGAUAGGCGUGCGUCCCAUUAGGUAGUUGUUGAGGUAACGGCGCACCAAGGCGACGAUGGGUAGGGGCAGUGGGAGGGUGAACCCCCACACUGGUACUGCGACACGGACCCGACUCCUGGGGGCAGCAGCAGUGAGGAAUAAUGGUGAAUGGGCGGGAGGCUGAACCGGCGAAGUCGCGUGAAGGAUGACUGUCUUAUGGAUUGUAAACUUCUUUUAUACGGGAAUAACAAGGGCCACGUGUGGCUCCCUGCAUGAACCGUAUGAAUAGGCAUCGGCAAACACCGU
rnacentral:rRNA from 1 species